GAAAAUCCCAACCAAACACGUCACACACAUACACACACCAUGGUUGAAGUUUGAGGCAAACAGCACGUGUUGUGGGUGCAUUUCUCUCUCUCUCUAAACUCCGAUGGCUUUCUCUGCAAUCUCAGCUAUGCACUCUCCUCAAUUUGUUCGUCUUCCUAUCUCCUCCCCGCAAUAUUCUUCACCCAUAGUCAAAUUUUCACCGCCAAAUCUAAAACGCCCUAAACCACUCUCCAUUCGAUCAGUUUCAAUCCCCGCUGCACCAGCUUCUGGGUCUGUGGCCCCUGCAAUUUCUCUUACGGAUAACGCACUGAAGCACUUGAGUAAGAUGAGGUCUGAACGAAAUGAAAAUUUAUGUUUAAGAAUAGGUGUCAGACAAGGUGGGUGCUCUGGUAUGUCAUACACAAUGGAUUUUGAGGACAGGGCUAAUAAAAGGCCAGAUGACUCCAUCAUCGAGUAUGAAGGCUUUGAAAUUGACUGCAUUUGGAUUGAUUCCAGUACUGAGUAUACUGCAAUGGAUAAAUAAAAGAAUAAAACAGUGAGCAAACUGUCUCUCACCUUACAACAGAGCAAAAAUGAUGCAUGUAUAGGGUGAUUAUGUUUGUGAUCCUAAAAGCCUACUCUUCAUAUUUGGUAUGCAAUUAGAUUACAGUGAUGCUCUAAUUGGGGGAGGCUUCUCUUUCAAGAAUCCUAACGCAACACAGACUUGUGGAUGUGGUAAAUCCUUUGCCGCCGAAAUG